rnacentral:rRNA from 1 species
AAGCGGUGGAGCAUGUGGUUUAAUUCGAAGCAACGCGAAAAACCUUACCAGGUCUUGACAUCCCGAUGCUAUUCUAGAGAUAGAAAGUUACUUCGGUACAUCGGUGACAGGUGGUGCAUGGUUGUCGUCAGCUCGUGUCGUGAGAUGUUGGGUUAAGUCCCGCAACGAGCGCAACUCCUAUUGUUAGUUGCCAUCAUUCAGUUGGGCACUCUAGCGAGACUACCGGUAAUAAACCGGAGGAAGGUGGGAUGACGUCAAAUCAUCAUGCCCCUUAUGACCUGGGCUACACACGUGCUACAAUGGUUGGUACAACGAGUUGCGAGUCGGUGACGGCGAGCUAAUCUCUUAAAGCCAAUCUCAGCUCGGAUUGUAGGCUGCAACUCGCCUACAUGAAGUCGGAAUCGCUAGUAAUCGCGGAUCAGCACGCCGCGGUGAAUACGUUCCCGGGCCUU